rnacentral:lncRNA from 1 species
UAGGGAGAAGUCUGAACCAGCUGAAGCUGCCUGGGACAGCUCUGUGGAUCCUCGCCUUGCCAGGCUCACCGGGGCUUUAAUAAUGCAAUAAAACCCAGCUUCUAAGGCACACAAAGGCUUUUGGAAAGCAAGAGAUAAAAGGGACUUUGUUCUGCUCCCGCUGGGAACAGUAUAGAUCUACAGGUGUUCCCACAGACACCGGUCCCUUGGUGGAGGCUGUUGCUGGUCUCUGCUCCCCACAUCUUGCUGCUGCCUGGGAGCCAUGGAAGGCUUAGAAUGGAAACAGCCCGCAGAAGGCAUGCUUUAAGAAGCACACAAUGACAAGAGCAGGCUCGAGAGCCAGGUGCACAAGUCACAGCACAGAAACACACACACACAAAAGGAAAACAACGGGUCUCAUUCAAAAGAGCAUCACUCUUCAGUUAUUGAACCCAAAGAUACUAAGAGGGAUUAAAAAUGCCAGAUGAAGAAUGCCAAAGUGGACUUGGGGAAAUGAACAGCAACUCAAAGAGGAUGCAAGCAAGUAAAUGAAUAAAAUAAGGAAAUAAAUUAAAGACCUGGAAAGGAAAACCAACUACAUAGACGACAAAGCCCGAAAAGAACAAGAUUUUUGAAAAACAAACAAAGAAAGAGAAAUGUGGGAAAUAAAAGACAAAUGAAAUAACCAGUGACAGUUGUCAAUCACCGAGAGACUGGACCACGCCCAGAAAUCCCAGCGCUGA